rnacentral:rRNA from 1 species
ACUUACGCUCAGAUUGAACGCUGGCGGCAGGCCUAACACAUGCAAGUCGAACGGUAACAGGAAGCAGCUUGCUGCUUUGCUGACGAGUGGCGGACGGGUGAGUAAUGUCUGGGAAACUGCCUGAUGGAGGGGGAUAACUACUGGAAACGGUAGCUAAUACCGCAUAACGUCGCAAGCACAAAGAGGGGGACCUUAGGGCCUCUUGCCAUCGGAUGUGCCCAGAUGGGAUUAGCUAGUAGGUGGGGUAACGGCUCACCUAGGCGACGAUCCCUAGCUGGUCUGAGAGGAUGACCAGCAACACUGGAACUGAGACACGGUCCAGACUCCUACGGGAGGCAGCAGUGGGGAAUAUUGCACAAUGGGCGCAAGCCUGAUGCAGCCAUGCAGCGUGUAUGAAGAAGGCCUUAGGGUUGUAAAGUACUUUCAGCGGGGAGGAAGGGAGUAAAGUUAAUACCUUUGCUCAUUGACGUUACCCCCAGAAGAAGCACCGGCUAACUCCGUGCCAGCAGCCGCGGUAAUACGGAGGGUGCAAGCGUUAAUCGGAAUUACUGGGCGUAAAGCGCACGCAGGCGGUUUGUUAAGUCAGAUGUGAAAUCCCCGGGCUCAACCUGGGAACUGCAUCUGAUACUGGCAAGCUUGAGUCUCGUAGAGGGGGGUAGAAUUCCAGGUGUAGCGGUGAAAUGCGUAGAGAUCUGGAGGAAUACCGGUGGCGAAGGCGGCCCCCUGGACGAAGACUGACGCUCAGGUGCGAAAGCGGGGGGGACAAACAGGAUUAGAUACCCUGGUAGUCCACGCCGUAAACGAUGUCGACUUGGAGGUUGUGCCCUUGAGGCGUGGCUUCCGGAAAUAACGCGUUAAGUCGACCGCCUGGGGAGUACGGCCGCAAGGUUAAAACUCAAAUGAAUUGACGGGGGCCGCACAAGCGGUGGAGCAUGUGGUUUAAUUCGAUGCAACGCGAAGAACCUUACCUGGUCUUGACAUCCACGGAAGUUCAGAGAUGAGAAUGUGCCUUCGGGAACCGUGAGACAGGUGCUGCAUGGCUGUCGUCAGCUCGUGUUGUGAAAUGUUGGGUUAAGUCCCGCAACGAGCGCAACCCUUAUCCUUUGUUGCCAGCGGUCGGCCGGGAAUCAAAGGAGACUGCCAGUGAUAAACUGGAGGAAGGUGGGGAUGACGUCAAGUCAUCAUGCCCUUACGACCAGGGCUACACACGUGCUACAAUGGCGCAUACAAAGAGAAGCGACCUCGCGAGAGCAAGCGGACCUCAUAAAGUGCGUCGUAGUCCGGAUUGGAGUCUGCAACUCGACUCCAUGAAGUCGGAAUCGCUAGUAAUCGUGGAUCAGAAUGCCACGGUGAAUACGUUCCCGGGCCUUGUACACACCGCCCGUCACACCAUGGGAGUGGGUUGCAAAAGAAGUAGGUACAUUCU